GGGCGCUAUCCGGAGUAUUGGGCGUAAGAGAGUGCAGGCGGUUUUCUAAGUCUGAUGUGAAAGCCUUCGUCUUAACCGGAGAAGUGCAUCGGAAACUGGAUAACUUGAGUGCAGAAGAGGGUAGUGGAACUCCAUGUGUAGCGGUGGAAUGCGUAGAUAUAUGGAAGAACACCAGUGGCGAAGGCGGCUACCUGGUCUGCAACUGACGCUGAGACUCGAAAGCAUGGGUAGCGAACAGGAUUAGAUACCCUGGUAGUCCAUGCCGUAAACGAUGAGUGCUAGGUGUUGGAGGGUUUCCGCCCUUCAGUGCCGGAGCUAACGCAUUAAGCACUCCGCCUGGGAGUACGACCGCAAGGUGGAAACUCAAAGGAAUUGACGGGGGCCCGCACAAGCGAUGAGCAUGUGGUUUAAUUCGAAGCUACGCGAAGAACCUUACCAGGUCUUGACAUCUUGCGCCAACCCUAGAGAUAGGGCGUUUCCUUCGGGAACGCAAUGACAGGUGUGCAUGGUCGUCGUCAGCUCGUGUCGUGAGAUGUUGGGUUAAGUCCCGCAACGAGCGCAACCCUUGUUACUAGUUGCCAGCAUUAAGUUGGGCACUCUAGUGAGACUGCCGUGACAAACCGAGCAAGUUGGGACGACGUCAGAUCAUCAUGCCUCUGAUGACUGGGCUACACACGUGCUACAUGACGUACACGAGUCGCGAACUCGCAAGGCAAGCAAUCUCUCCAUCGUCUCAGUUCGACUGCAGCUGCACUCGUCAGCCGAGUCGGAAUCAAUAGUAAUCGCGAUCAGCUGCGGUGAUCGUC
rnacentral:rRNA from 1 species